CGGAGGGUGCAAGCGUUAUCCGGAUUUAUUGGGUUUAAAGGGUCCGUAGGCGGAUCCGUAAGUCAGUGGUGAAAUCUCACAGCUUAGCUGUGAAACUGCCAUUGAUACUGCGGGUCUUGAGUAAGGUAGAAGUGGCUGGAAUAAGUAGUGUAGCGGUGAAAUGCAUAGAUAUUACUUAGAACACCAAUUGCGAAGGCAGGUCACUAUGUCUUAACUGACGCUGAUGGACGAAAGCGUGGGGAGCGAACAGGAUUAGAUACCCUGGUAGUCCACGCCGUAAACGAUGCUAACUCGUUUUUGGGCUUUCGGGUUCAGAGACUAAGCGAAAGUGAUAAGUUAGCCACCUGGGGAGUACGUUCGCAAGAAUG
rnacentral:rRNA from 1 species